CCUACGGGAGGCAGCAGUGAGGAAUAUUGGUCAAUGGGCGCGAGCCUGAACCAGCCAAGUAGCGUGAAGGAUGAAGGCGCUACGCGUUGUAGACUUCUUUUGUCGAGGGAUAAAGUGAGGCACGUGUGCCGUUUUGUGUGUAUUUUGUGAAUAAGGAUCGGCUAACUCCGUGCCAGCAGCCGCGGUAAUACGGAGGAUGCGAGCGUUAUCCGGAUUUAUUGGGUUUAAAGGGAGCGUAGGGGGGUUCUUAAGCCAGUCGUGAAAGUUUGGGGCUCAACCGUAAAAGUGCAAUUGAGACUGGCAGCCUUGAGUACAGUCGAGGCAUGCGGAAUGCGCGGUGUAGCGGUGAAAUGCUUAGAUAUCACGAAGAACCCCGAUUGCGAAGGCAGCCUACUAAGCCGCCACUGACGCUGAGGCACGAAAGCGCGGGGAUCAAACAGGAUUAGAUACCCGAGUAGUC
rnacentral:rRNA from 1 species